rnacentral:rRNA from 1 species
CAAUAGCAUAUAUUAACGUUGUUGCAGUUGAAAAGCUCGUAGUUGAACUUUUGGUAGGAGCGACCUGGCCUUGGGCGCAUGCCCUUGUUUGCCGUGUGUCGUAUCUGGCCAUCCUUUUCUUCUUUUUGGAAGGAAUCUUUUACUGUGAGUAAACUGGAGUGCUCAAAACAAGACGUUUGUUUGGUACAUUAAAGCAUGGAAUAAUAAGAUAGGACCUGGUUACUAUUUUGUUGGUUUGCAUAGCUAGGUAAUGAUUAACAGGGACAGUUGGGGGUAUUCGUAUUUAAUUGUCAGAGGUGAAAUUCUUGGAUUUAUGAAAGACGAACGACUGCGAAAGCAUUUACCAAGGAUGUUUNCAUUAG